rnacentral:rRNA from 1 species
UACGUAGGGACCGAGCGUUGUCCGGAAUCAUUGGGCGUAAAGAGCGUGUAGGCGGCCACUUAAGUCCUGCGUGAAAUCUUGCGGCUCAACCGCAAGCGGUCGUGGGAAACUGGGUGGCUAGAGUGCGGGAGAGGAGAGUGGAAUUCCUGGUGUAGCGGUGGAAUGCGCAGAUAUCAGGAGGAACACCAAUGGCGAAGGCAGAUCUCUGGGGCCGUAAACUGACGCUGAGGAGCGAAAGCAUGGGGGAGCGAACAGG